UUAUUGUUCCGCAUGACGCGCGUCAUAAUUUCCCAAUUAUUUUCUUCUUCCAGUUGCUUCUUCCUUCUUUGUUCAAGGUAAACGAAAAAAAACCAGAGAUGCUAGUUUUCACGCUAACCCAUGCGUAAACUUAAACAAUUUUAACUUUCACGGAUAAGUUAGAGAUGAAGAAACAUGGUGAUAAAGAUACUGAUUAUAACGAAUGCAGUGGCGACGAUGAUUUCAUGAAGCCGAAGAAGAAAAAGAAAACCAGUGCCUACGAUGAUUUCGUGAAGUCGAAGAAGAAAAAGAAAACCGAAGACUCAAGUAAAGAUGGUGCUAAAGGACGCUAAAUCAGGGUUGUCUUGGAAGUUCGCCGACGAUGAUUUUGGUUCUCCAAAAACGCAGAUGAUUUCGAAGGGGAAAUGGUGAUUAUCACUAAUUUCUGAAAACUAAAAUUUCACUCGAGCUAGCGCCAAUUGUAUAACUGGAGUUUUUGCUAUGCCUAUGAACUACUCAAGUGAAAAAUAAUGUUUUCCUCACCACUUUCUAAGUUGAAAGAUCCAACAUUCAUAGUAUUCACAUCUGAACACCUAUUUCUAGUGAAAUACCCAACUUUCACUACAUUUUCAUGUGAAAAAUCUAUUUAUCACCUAUUUCGUUGUGGAAGAUCCAACUUUCAUACAACAUGAGUAUGUUUCAUGUUUUAUGAAGUAAUAAUUACACUGAAUUGAUGGUAUAUACAUU